rnacentral:rRNA from 1 species
GACGAACGCUGGCGGCGUGCUUAACACAUGCAAGUCGAACGGAAAGGCCCCUUUUGGGGUACUCGAGUGGCGAACGGGUGAGUAACACGUGAGUAACCUGCCCUUGACUUCGGGAUAACUUCAGGAAACUGGGGCUAAUACCGGAUAGGAAUCCUUGCUGCAUGGUGGGGGUUGGAAAGCUUCGGCGGUUUUGGAUGGACUCGCGGCUUAUCAGCUUGUUGGUGGGGUAGUGGCUUACCAAGGCUUUGACGGGUAGCCGGCCUGAGAGGGCGACCGGCCACAUUGGGACUGAGAUACGGCCCAGACUCCUACGGGAGGCAGCAGUGGGAAAUAUUGCACAAUGGGCGGAAGCCUGAUGCAGCAACGCCGCGUGCGGGAUGACGGCCUUCGGGUUGUAAACCGCUUUCAGCAGGGGCGAAGCUUGUGGUGACGGUACCUGCAGAAGAAGCACCGGCUAACUACGUG